UACCAGGUCUUGACAUACCAAUGAUCGCUUUUGUAAUGAAAGCUUUUCUUCGGAACAUUGGAUACAGGUGGUGCAUGGUCGUCGUCAGCUCGUGUCGUGAGAUGUUGGGUUAAGUCCCGCAACGAGCGCAACCCUUGUUAUUAGUUGCCAGCAUUUAGUUGGGCACUCUAAUGAGACUGCCGGUGAUAAACCGGAGGAAGGUGGGGACGACGUCAGAUCAUCAUGCCCCUUAUGACCUGGGCAACACACGUGCUACAAUGGGAAGUACAACGAGUCGCAAACCGGCGACGGUAAGCUAAUCUCUUAAAACUUCUCUCAGUUCGGACUGGAGUCUGCAACUCGACUCCACGAAGGCGGAAUCGCUAGUAAUCGCGAAUCAGCAUGUCGCGGUGAAUACGUUCCCGGGUCUUGUACACACCGCCCGUCAAAUCAUGGGAGUCGGAAGUACCCAAAGUCGCUUGGCUAACUUUUAGAGGCCGGUGCCUAAGGUAAAAUCGAUGACUGGGAUUAAGUCGUAACAAGGUAGCCGUAGGAGAACCUGCGGCUGGAUCACCUCCUUUCUAAGGA
rnacentral:rRNA from 1 species